rnacentral:lncRNA from 1 species
CCCAUGCCAGCCUGUGUGGUGGAUUCAGAAGAAGACGCUUGUCAGAUUGUCCAGAGCCUUCAGAUGUUGAUUUAGCUGCUUGAACAGAGAGGUCAUGCGUCGUGCAGUGGGAGCAGGUGCUGCAGAGCUCCCAAAGUUGCAGGUUCUUCCUGGCUAAGGUCAUGAACGUGGACACCCUCUCCCUGGCUGCCUGUAGCACAUCAGCCCCUCUCAAGACUCCCCUUCAGGAGCCAGC